GUCAAAAAAAGGAAACAGGGGACAAAUAGAAAAAAAUUAGGUGGGAAUUUUAAACUCAUUUACUAGUGAUUAAAUUAAUAUUUAGUAAAGCAACUACUCCAGGGCUUUCCAGGUGGCUCAGUUGUAAAGAAUUUGCCUGGCAGUGUGGGAGACUCAGGAGAUGUGAACUUGAUCCCUGGGUCUGUGAGAUCUCCUGGAGGAGGAAAUGGCAACCCACUCCAGUAUUCUUGACUUGGAAACCCCAUGGACGGAGGAGCCUGGUGGGCUACAGUCCAUGGGGUCACAAAGAAUAGGACAUGACUGAGCUACUGAGCACGCAUGCAAACCAAAUACUCCAAGUAAAAGAUAAAUAUUGUUAGACUGCAAUUUUAAAAUUUUAUUUCUAUUAUUCACUUAAUUCUCACAAUUCUCUAUUUAUAUCUAUUUUAUGAGUGAAAAAAUGGAGACUUCAGGGAGUAAAGAAACUUGCCAAAAUGACACAGCUGAAAAACAGCAAAGUCAAGAUAAGAGCCCCAGUUGUCCAACCCAACAUCCUUCCUUGUGGUAUUUAGUACAACUCAGCAAAGAGAAGGUCCUGUCAAGCUUGGCAAGAGCUGUGUCCAUGCGAUUUCAGGGUCAGAGCCGGACUGCAGCUGGCGUGGUGAAUGAUAAAAUUAAAAGUAGACAUCACCAUCUAAAUUCAUCAGCAGAAUGCACCGGAACACCAGGAAGGGGAUACGGGAGGAAGUCUCAGGGGGACCUGUUGGCCUUCUCCCAGAAUAUCAGUGAACUGAUCUUUCUAAACACCCAAUCGACGUAUACUUAUUGGACACAUACUAUUUGCAAAACACUAUUGGACUGUAUUUGUUCAUGCUUUCCUGACUUUGUGUCCAUCACUGGGGGUUAG
rnacentral:lncRNA from 1 species